CUGGUGUGUCUAUGGGUCAGUUAGAACAAAUAAGGAUAGACCUAAAUGGAUAUAGCUAAGAGUCUGUGUUAGCAUAUAGGCCAGAUCACACGUUGCAAUGAAUCAUCGUUGCAUUUUGCUAAUAACAUCAAAGACACUAGGCACCUGUAUGGGUUUGUAGCAGACAGAUCAUGGCACAGGUCUGCUACAAGAACACAUCCAGAGGUUUUUAGCUGAGGUUCAGAUCACCUCCAUUCCUCAGCACCAUGUACAUACCACGCCAGGUCAGAAAGAAAGCCCCAUCAAUGAACAAGUCUAACCUACUGGAAGAAGCAACCAGAUCAGAUUUGGGCCUAAGUACCUUGAUACCUCACAGAAGAUGAAAUGACUUUGAGUCACCACAACAAUCUACGAUCAACGACCACGUCUGUCAUCCUGAAAGCACUUUGACCUUCUCUGUGAUGGUGUAUGAGACAAGAGAGGAAACAAAACCAAUAAAAUAUUGAAUAAAACUG